UAGGGAAUCUUCGGCAAUGGACGAAAGUCUGACCGAGCAACGCCGCGUGAGUGAAGAAGGUUUUCGGAUCGUAAAACUCUGUUGUUAGAGAAGAACAAGGACGUUAGUAACUGAACGUCCCCUGACGGUAUCUAACCAGAAAGCCACGGCUAACUACGUGCCAGCAGCCGCGGUAAUACGUAGGUGGCAAGCGUUGUCCGGAUUUAUUGGGCGUAAAGCGAGCGCAGGCGGUUUCUUAAGUCUGAUGUGAAAGCCCCCGGCUCAACCGGGGAGGGUCAUUGGAAACUGGGAGACUUGAGUGCAGAAGAGGAGAGUGGAAUUCCAUGUGUAGCAGUGAAAUGCGUAGAUAUAUGGAGGAACACCAGUGGCGAAGGCGGCUCUCUGGUCUGUAACUGACGCUGAGGCUCGAAAGCGUGGGGAGCAAACAGU
rnacentral:rRNA from 1 species